rnacentral:rRNA from 1 species
UACGUAGGUGGCAAGCGUUGUCCGGAUUUACUGGGCGUAAAGAGCGCGCAGGCGGUCGAAUAAGUCGAAUGUGAAAGCCCCCGGCUCAACCUGGGGAGGGUCAUUCGAUACUGCUCGACUUGAAGGCAGGAGAGGGUAGUGGAAUUCCCGGUGUAGUGGUGAAAUGCGUAGAUAUCGGGAGGAACACCAGUGGCGAAGGCGACUACCUGGCCUGUUCUUGACGCUGAGGCGCGAAAGCUGGGGAGCAAACGGG